rnacentral:rRNA from 1 species
CCUACGGGGGGCAGCAGUGAGGAAUAUUGGUCAAUGGGCGGGAGCCUGAACCAGCCAAGUCGCGUGAGGGAAGAAGGUACUGAGUAUUGUAAACCUCUUUUGCCAGGGGACAAAGGCGGCCACGGGUGGCCCUAAGAGUGUACCCGGAGAAAAAGCAUCGGCUAACUCCGUGCCAGCAGCCGCGGUAAUACGGGGGAUGCGAGCGUUAUCCGGAUUUAUUGGGUUAAAAGGGUGCGCAGGCGGCAUGUCAAGUCAGCGGGAAAAUGGCGGGGCUCAACCCCGGCCGGCCGUUGAAACUGGCGGGCUGGAGUAGGAGAGAAGUAUGCGGAAUUCGUGGUGUAGCGGUGAAAUGCAUAGAUAUCACGAAGAACACCGAUUGCGAAGGCAGCAUACCGGCUCCACACUGACGCUGAGGCACGAAAGCGUGGGUAUCGAACAGGAUUAGAUACCCGAGUAGUC